AUGCGGUGGCGCCGCAUCUGUUCCCGCACACACGACCCGCAGCCCCCACUCACGCCUGGACACCUGCUGUCGUUCAUUGCCACCAGAAUCACCCCCCGCAGAAGGGAGAACCGCGCACCGGGACCUACUCUCCAGCACACGGAGGUGCGCACCACCACGCAGCGCAGAUGCACCCAGGUGCCCAAGUGCGUCUCUCUCUCUCUCGCUCUCUCUCUCUCUCUCUCUCUCGAUCUGUGUCUCACACACACACGCCUCACCUUUGCUUUUCCGCUGCAAUCCGCUAGCUCGGCUCGCCGGCACCCAGCGACUGUCCCCAACCCAGCCGGGCGCCCAGGCGCGCAGCAGCUCGGCCGGCACCUGGCGCCUGGCGCUCGGCGUCCUGCGCUGCCGGCUGCUCCAGCCCCUCGCGCCGCCCAGAGCCAGGGCCCCGCGGACCCCCCGGACCCCCCGGACCCCCGGACCCCCGGCGCCGAGCGCGCACUGGGGCUCGGGGCGCGCGUGGCGGGGCGAGCGCGUGCGCGCCCGGGUGGCUGCGUCGCCGGGACUGGCCCCGCGGAGCCCGGGCCCCUCUGCACAUUUCCCCGCGCCCCCCCUCCCCCGGGUUACGUCACAGCAGCUUCGCUCCGCCCGCUGGUCCGUAGGAGGACCGGGCUGAGCCGCCCGGAGAAUCCGCCGGGGGCUGCGGGUGGAGCUCGCGGGCGGGGGGGCGUCGGGGGUCGGCGAUCCCGCGCCCCCGGACGCUCCCACUCGUGGCAGGCUCACGCGCUGCAGUCCCUCGUACCGCGCUCACAGAAUCGGGUGUGUCUCACCCAGCGUACGGCUGCUGGGGUGGCGGCCCAGGUGACCCAGACUCGCCUGGGACCCUGUGCCAUCACCUGGGUCGGACAGGUUGGCAAAGCCGUGCCUGCCGUGGGUCAUCCCAGGGCGCAGGGCUGGCGGGAGAGCACCUCGUGCGGGCCCGGCUCCCCUCCCUUCCCGGCCAUCCAGCCGGCACAGGGGUUCCAGAAUUCGGUUCUGGGAGCGCCAGGGCUCAGCAGAGCAGCACUCCUGCCCCCUCCCAGCUGUGCACGCCCAGAGGUACAGGCCAUGCGGCCGGUCGCUGGGCUUGUGGGCACCUGCUGGUGCGACUCAGCUCGCUCCCCGGCCACCUAA
rnacentral:lncRNA from 1 species